UGGGGGAUAUUGCACAAUGGGCGAAAGCCUGAUGCAGCGACGCCGCGUGGGGGAUGAAGGCUUUCGGGUUGUAAACCUCUUUCGCUAUCGAACAAGGCCCGCUUAGGGUGGGUUGAGGGUAGGUGGAGAAGAAGCGCCGGCUAACUACGUGCCAGCAGCCGCGGUAAUACGUAGGGCGCGAGCGUUGUCCGGAAUUAUUGGGCGUAAAGGGCUUGUAGGCGGCUUGUUGCGCCUGCUGUGAAAACGCGGGGCUUAACUUCGCGCGUGGAGUUGGUACGGGCAGGCUUGAGUGUGGUAGGGGUGACUGGAAUUCCAGGUGUAGAGGUGGAAUGCGCAGAUAUCUGGAGGAACACCGAUGGCGAAGGCAGGUCACUGGGCCAUUACUGACGCUGAGGAGCGAAAGCAUGGGUAGCGAACAGG
rnacentral:rRNA from 1 species